UGGGGAAUUUUGGACAAUGGGGGCAACCCUGAUCCAGCCAUCCCGCGUGUGCGAUGAAGGCCUUCGGGUUGUAAAGCACUUUUGGCAGGGAAGAAACAGCCUGGGAUAAUACCCCGGGCGACUGACGGUACCUGCAGAAUAAGCACCGGCUAACUACGUGCCGGCAGCCGCGGUAAUACGUAGGGUGCAAGCGUUAAUCGGAAUUACUGGGCGUAAAGCGUGCGCAGGCGGUUCGGAAAGAAAGGUGUGAAAUCCCAGGGCUUAACCUUGGAACUGCACUUUUAACUACCGAGCUAGAGUACGUCAGAGGGGGGUAGAAUUCCACGUGUAGCAGUGAAAUGCGUAGAGAUGUGGAGGAAUACCGAUGGCGAAGGCAGCCCCCUGGGAUGAUACUGACGCUCAUGCACGAAAGCGUGGGGAGCAAACAGGAUUAGAUACCCUGGUAGUCCACGCCCUAAACGAUGUCAACUAGCUGUUGGGGUUUUAUUAACCUUAGUAGCGCAGCUAACGCGUGAAGUUGACCGCCUGGGGGAGUACGGUCGCAAGAUU
rnacentral:rRNA from 1 species